GAUUCGUCACACUAUCAUUAACUGAAUCCAUAGGUUAAUGAGGCGAACCGGGGGAACUGAAACAUCUAAGUACCCCGAGGAAAAGAAAUCAACCGAGAUUCCCCCAGUAGCGGCGAGCGAACGGGGAGGAGCCCAGAGCCUGAAUCAGCAUGUGUGUUAGUGGAAGCGUCUGGAAAGGCGCGCGAUACAGGGUGACAGCCCCGUACACAAAAGCGCAUGUGCUGUGAGCUCGAUGAGUAGGGCGGGACACGUGGUAUCCUGUCUGAAUAUGGGGGGACCAUCCUCCAAGGCUAAAUACUCCUGACUGACCGAUAGUGAACCAGUACCGUGAGGGAAAGGCGAAAAGAACCCCGGCGAGGGGAGUGAAAAAGAACCUGAAACCGUGUACGUACAAGCAGUGGGAGCACAGGUUUACCUGUGUGACUGCGUACCUUUUGUAUAAUGGGUCAGCGACUUAUAUUCUGUAGCAAG
rnacentral:rRNA from 3 species